GACGAACCACCCAAACGUUAUUCGGAAUUACUGGGCUUAAAGGGUGCGUAGGCUGUGCGGAAAGUUGGGUGUGAAAUACCUCAGCUUAACUGAGGAACUGCGCUCAAACUACCGUGACUCGAGGAGACAGAGGUGAGCGGAACUUAGGGUGGAGCGGUGAAAUGCGUUGAGUAUCCUAAGGAACACCGGUGGCGAAGGCG
rnacentral:rRNA from 1 species